rnacentral:rRNA from 1 species
CAAUAGCGUAUAUUAAAGUUGUUGCAGUUAGAACGCUCGUAGUCGGAUUUCGGGGCGGGCCGACCGGUCUGCCGAUGGGUAUGCACUGGUCGGCGCGUCCUUCCUUCCGGAGACCGUCCCUACUCUUAACUGAGCGGGGGCGGGAGACGGGACUUUUACUUUGAAAAAAUCAGAGUGUUUCAAGCAGGCAGCUCGCUCUUGCAUGGAUUAGCAUGGGAUAAUGAAAUAGGACUUUGGUGCUAUUUUGUUGGUUUCGAACACCGAAGUAAUGAUGAGAAGGGACAGUCAGGGGCACUCGUAUUCCGCCGAGAGAGGUGAAAUUCUCAGACCAGCGGAAGACGAACCACUGCGAAAGCAUUUGCCAGGGAUGCUUUCACUGA